rnacentral:rRNA from 1 species
UACGUAGGGACCAAGCGUUGUUCGGAUUUACUGGGCGUAAAGGGCGCGUAGGCGGCAAUUCAAGUCAGUUGUGAAAUCUCCGAGCUUAACUCGGAACGGUCAACUGAUACUGCUUUGCUAGAGUACAGAAGGGGCAAUCGGAAUUCUUGGUGUAGCGGUGAAAUGCGUAGAUAUCAAGAGGAACACCUGAGGUGAAGACGGGUUGCUGGGCUGAUACUGACGCUGAGGCGCGAAAGCGUGGGGAGCAAACGGG